rnacentral:rRNA from 1 species
GAUGAACGCUGGCGGCGUGCUUAACACAUGCAAGUCGAGCGGUAAGGCCCUUUCGGGGGUACACGAGCGGCGAACGGGUGAGUAACACGUGGGUGACCUGCCCUCAGCUCUGGGAUAAGCCUGGGAAACCGGGUCUAAUACUGGAUAUGACUCCAUGACGCAUGUUGUGGGGUGGAAAGCCUUGUGCGGCUGAGGAUGGGCCCGCGGCCUAUCAGCUUGUUGGUGGGGUGAUGGCCUACCAAGGCGACGACGGGUAGCCGGCCUGAGAGGGCGACCGGCCACACUGGGACUGAGACACGGCCCAGACUCCUACGGGAGGCAGCAGUGGGGAAUCUUGCGCAAUGGGCGAAAGCCUGACGCAGCGACGCCGCGUGAGGGAUGACGGCCU